CAUGCAAGUCGAACGGAGAUAUGUUUUGGAAGGGCUUCGGUCUGGAAGAGAUAUAUUUUAGUGGCGGACGGGUGAGUAACGCGUGGGCAAUCUGCCUUGUAGAAAGGGAUAACAGGCCGAAAGGCUUGCUAAUACCGGAUGAGCUUGUCUAAUCGCAUGAUAAGACAAGGAAAGGGGAAACCCGCUACAAGAUGAGCCUGCGUCCCAUUAGCUAGUUGGUGAGAUAACAGCCCACCAAGGCGACGAUGGGUAGCCGGCCUGAGAGGGUGACCGGCCACAUUGGAACUGAGAAACGGUCCAGACUCCUACGGGGGGCAGCAGUGGGGAAUAUUCGGCAAUGGGCGAAAGCCUGACCGAGCGACGCCGCGUGAGCGAAGAAGGCCUUCGGGUCGUAAAGCUCUGUCUAGUGGGACGAAAAAAAUGACGGUACCACUGGAGGAAGCCACGGCUAACUACGUGCCAGCAGCCGCGGUAAUACGUAGGUGGCGAGCGUUGUCCGGAAUUACUGGGCGUAAAGGGCGCGCAGGCGGAUCGUUAAGUUGGACGUGAAAUACCCCGGCUCAACUGGGGGGCGACGUCCAAAACUGGCGGACUAGAGUGCAGGAGAGGAAAGUAGAAUUCCCAGUGUAGCGGUGAAAUGCGUAGAUAUUGGGAGGAAUACCGGUGGCGAAGGCGGCUUUCUGGACUGUAACUGACGCUGAGGCGCGAAAGCUGGGGGAGCGAACAGGAUUAGAUACCCUGGUAGUCCCAGCCGUAAACAAUGAACACUAGGUGUAGGGGGUAUCGACCCCUCCUGUGCCGCAGCUAACGCAU
rnacentral:rRNA from 1 species